rnacentral:tRNA from 1 species
CAACCAGUGGCGGAGCGGUCAAUCGCAUCUCCAUAUCAAGGAGACUGCCGUGAGUUCGAAUCCCGUCUGGUUUA